CUCCCAUUCGUGGUCCGAAGGGAAACAUCUGCUUAACUCGCUGGCAGUGGUGUUCAUCACCCCUGGGAGAUAAGCAGCUGAUAUGCGGAUGUGGUUUAUGGCCUCUGAGCAAAGAGAGUGGGAGCGAGCCCCUCCUUGUCUGUUUACGUAGAACAUGCAGGCAAUGUUGUCUGUCAUUAUGCGUACAUGCUGAUUCUUGAUCAGUGGUAGGAAGUGGCGGCAGGCAUUCUGUAUAGCUCGAAGUUCUAGAACAUUUAUGUGCAGGGAGGUCUCGGAAGGAGACCAUAGCCCGUGGACUGUUUGGUGAGAGAUGUGGUCCCCCCAGCCAGUAAGAGAUGCAUCGGUCGCCAUUAUCAGAGUUGGGGAAGUCUGGAGGAAGGGGACUCCAGAACAGAGGUUGUAGGGGACUGUCCACCACAAGGAGAGAGUCUUUGACUCGGCCCAGGGAUUGGAAGCAAUUGAUGGUGAGUUGUGUGAAGCGGAGGGCCUCGUCAAACGUGGAGGCCUUCAGGAGGCAAUCGUCGAGGGGUUUGGAUGCCUAAGGAUCGAAGAGUUGCCCUUGAGUCCUUCAUUGAGUGAAGCACGUCAUUCGUGGUGGAAGCAAAGAGUUUAUCACCAUCAAAAGGGAGAUCCUCUAUGGUGCUCUGAACCUCGCGGGGAAAGAGGGAAGAGGAGAGCCAUGAACCUCGGCGCAUGACCACCGCUGUAGCGGUGGACCUUGCUGCAGUAUUGGCUGCAUCCAGAGCUGCUUGAAGAGCCGUGCGUGAUAUGAUUUGGCCCUCGGAAACUAAAGCUGAAAACUGUUGUUUCUUCUG